rnacentral:rRNA from 1 species
AGUGAACGCUGGCGGUAGGCCUAACACAUGCAAGUCGAACGGCAGCACAGUAAGAGCUUGCUCUUACGGGUGGCGAGUGGCGGACGGGUGAGGAAUACAUCGGAAUCUACUUUUUCGUGGGGGAUAACGUAGGGAAACUUACGCUAAUACCGCAUACGCCCUACGGGUGAAAGCAGGGGAACUUCGGACCUUGCGCGUAUGAAUGUGCCGAUGGCGGAUUAGCUAGUUGGCGGGGGAAAGGCCCAGCAAGGCGUCGAUGGGUAGCUGGCCUGAGAGGGUGACCGGCCACGGUGGGACUGAGAUACGGCCCAGCGUCCUACGGGAGGCAGCAGGGGGGAAUAUUGCACAAUGGGAGGAAGCCUGAGGCAGCAACGCCGCGUGCGGGAUGACGGCCUGCGGGUUGUAAAACGCUUUCGCCUGUGACGAAGCGUGAGUGACGGUAAUGGGUAAAGAAGCACCGGCUAACUACGUG